rnacentral:rRNA from 1 species
AACGAACGCUGGCGGCAGGCCUAACACAUGCAAGUCGAACGCCGUAGCAAUACGGAGUGGCAGACGGGUGAGUAACACGUGGGAACAUACCCUUCGGUUCGGAAUAACUCAGGGAAACGUUAGAGCUAAUACCGGAUACGUCCGCGAGGAGAAAGAUUCAUCGCCGGAGGAUUGGCCCGCGUCUGAUUAGCUUGUUGGUGAGGUAAUGGCCUACCAAGGCGACGAUCAGUAGCGGUCUGAGAGGAUGAUCAGCCACACUGGGACUGAGACACGGCCCAGACUCCUACGGGAGGGCAGCAGUGGGGAAGUCUUGCGCAAUGGUCUAACGACUGACGCAGCGACGCCGCGUGAGGGAUGAAGCUCUUCGGAGUGUAACCUCUGUGCCCGGGACGGAAUAGCGGAUUAUUCCGACUUGACGGUACCGGGUGAGAG